rnacentral:pre_miRNA from 1 species
CUUGUACUCCUCCUCCAUCCGGAAUUACUCGUCGAAGAAAUAGAUGUAUCUAGACAUAUUUUAGUUUUAGAUUUAUCCAUUUCCACGACAAGUAAUUCCGGAUGGAGGUAGUAUUUU